AAAAAGUCAAACUCUAGGUUUACGUGUCCAACUUUAACUGUCCGUUUUAUAUGAAAUUUUUUUAUAAUUUAUAUUUUUAUUAUUGUUAGAUGAUAAAACAUGAUUAAUAUUUUAUACGUGACUUGUCUUUUUAAUUUUUUCAUAAUUUUUUUAAAUAAGAUGGACGGUUAAAUGUUGGACACGGAAACCAAUG
rnacentral:pre_miRNA from 1 species